UACGUAGGGUGCAAGCGUUAAUCGGAAUACUGGGCGUAAAAGCGUGCGCAGGCGGUUGUGUAAGACAGAUGUGAAAUCCCCGGGCUCAACCUGGAACUGCAUUUGUGACUGCACAGCUGGAGUGCGGCAGAGGGGGGAUGAAUUCCGCGUGUAGCAGUGAAAUGCGUAGAUAUGCGGAGGAACACCGAUGGCGAAGGCAAUCCCCUGGGCCUGCCACUG
rnacentral:rRNA from 1 species